CAGCACUGUUGGAAGGAAGAUACAGGAGAGUCCCCUAUUAUGAACGGGUUUGCCCCUGUGAUUCCGGGGAAGUGGAGUCGUUGACUCUAGCAUCCCAGGACACCUGGAUAUGCUCAGCCUACAAAGAGUUGGAGAACUGUUCUGCUUCUCUAUUUCCCUUCCCUGGCUCCUGGUUUGAGCAGCACUUCAUGGACAUCCAGACGGUGCUAUGACAUCUCCAGGCAGUUCAGAACAAUACUUCUCACAUGGCUACAGGAAGGAGAGAGGACAGCGAGCAACAGUGGAUUGGGAUGGAGGGAGAGAGAGUGCAUGAGAGAUGGAAGACCUGAAGAGGGCAUCAAGGCUGGCAAUGCCAUUGGCUCCAUCCAUAGCUGGUGAGCUGCAUUUGGCUUGGCAAGUCACAAGU